GUGCAGCUCUUCCAGCAUGGUGGGGCUUGUAGUAGUCCUGUCCGUUCCUGUAGAUGCUGCUAGAUCAGCCCUGGGACGGUUUGAGGCCUCUCCCUGCUGCAUUGGGGGGAGGUUAUAGAAAUCCCAGACACGU